rnacentral:lncRNA from 1 species
GAAGAUUCAAAUCGACCCAGACCCUCAAAGCAGAAACAUUUGGCGCCCACCGUGGGGCCUGAGGCUUAUACCCAAUGGUGACCACGAGAAACACUAGCACUGACGAGGCAAGCGGAAUCGUGCGCGCUUUGGAGAUGAGGAUGGAAGAGAUGCAAAGGAGACAUGAGGAAAUGCAAAAGAAGCAUGAAGAGGAGAUGGCGGCCGUACGAGCCGAGUGUUUAGCUCAACUCCACG